GACGAACGCUGGCGGCGUGCUUAACACAUGCAAGUCGAACGGUGAAGCGCCUUCCUUUUUGGUGGGUGUGGAUGAGUGGCGAACGGGUGAGUAACACGUGAGUAACCUGCCCCCUUCUUCUGGAUAACCGCAUGAAAGUGUGGCUAAUACGGGAUAUUCUGGGUCUGUCGCAUGAUGGGUCUGGGAAAGAUAUUGUUUCGGUGGGGGAUGGGCUCGCGGCCUAUCAGCUUGUGGGUGGGGUGAUGGCCUACCAAGGCGGUGACGGGUAGCCGGCCUGAGAGGGUGGACGGUCACACUGGGAGUGAGACACGGCCCAGACUCCUACGGGGGGCAGCAGUGGGGAAUAUUGCACAAUGGGCGCAAGCCUGAUGCAGCGACGCCGCGUGAGGGAUGGAGGCCUUCGGGUUGUGAACCUCUUUCGCCAGUGAAGCAGGCCUGCCUCGUUUGUGGGUGGGUUGACGGUAGCUGGAUAAGAAGCGCCGGCUAACUACGUG
rnacentral:rRNA from 1 species